rnacentral:rRNA from 1 species
ACUCCUACGGGAGGCAGCAGUGGGGAAUUUUCCGCAAUGGGCGAAAGCCUGACGGAGCAAGACCGCGUGAGGGAUGACGGCCUAAUGGUUGUAAACCUCUUUUCUCUGGGAAGAUAAUGACGGUACCAGAGGAAUAAGCCUCGGCUAACUCCGUGCCAGCAGCCGCGGUAAUA